rnacentral:lncRNA from 1 species
UUCAACCAUUCACAGGCUAUAUGCUACCAGGAUGGGACAACUCCAUGUAGUCACGCACAUGAUCUCUGGAGCCAAGGAAAUACCAAGAUAAUGUGACUUUGAUGGUACCUCACAAAGCCUCCAUCUCCUGGAAGGGUCAUCUCAGAAUGUCCGUCGAGGCGUCCUCGGAGUUUCUCCAGCACUGUUGCACACUGAGAAGCUGUCUGUAGGUUGAGGUUAUAGAAAGAGUAUGCAAAGAACCAUUCCCCCCAGCUCUACCGCUGCAGCCAGCCUCUGCGCCUGCGCCGU